UAAUACAUGCAAGUCGAACGCACAGCGAAAGGUGCUUGCACCUUUCAAGUGAGUGGCGAACGGGUGAGUAACACGUGGACAACCUGCCUCAAGGCUGGGGAUAACAUUUGGAAACAGAUGCUAAUACCGAAUGAAACUUAGUGUCGCAUGACACAAAGUUAAAAGGCGCUUUGGCGUCACCUAGAGAUGGAUCCGCGGUGCAUUAGUUAGUUGGUGGGGUAAAGGCCUACCAAGACAAUGAUGCAUAGCCGAGUUGAGAGACUGAUCGGCCACAUUGGGACUGAGACACGGCCCAAACUCCUACGGGAGGCUGCAGUAGGGAAUCUUCCACAAUGGGCGAAAGCCUGAUGGAGCAACGCCGCGUGUGUGAUGAAGGCUUUCGGGUCGUAAAGCACUGUUGUAUGGGAAGAACAGCUAGAAUAGGGAAUGAUUUUAGUUUGACGGUACCAUACCAGAAAGGGACGGCUAAAUACGUGCCAGCAGCCGCGGUAAUACGUAUGUCCCGAGCGUUAUCCGGAUUUAUUGGGCGUAAAGCGAGCGCAGACGGUUGAUUAAGUCUGAUGUGAAAGCCCGGAGCUCAACUCCGGAAUGGCAUUGGAAACUGGUUAACUUGAGUGCAGUAGAGGUAAGUGGAACUCCAUGUGUAGCGGUGGAAUGCGUAGAUAUAUGGAAGAACACCAGUGGCGAAGGCGGCUUACUGGACUGCAACUGACGUUGAGGCUCGAAAGUGUGGGUAGCAAACAGGAUUAGAUACCCUGGUAGUCCACACCGUAAACGAUGAACACUAGGUGUUAGGAGGUUUCCGCCUCUUAGUGCCGAAGCUAACGCAUUAAGUGUUCCGCCUGGGGAGUACGACCGCAAGGUUGAAACUCAAAGGAAUUGACGGGGACCCGCACAAGCGGUGGAGCAUGUGGUUUAAUUCGAAGCAACGCGAAGAACCUUACCAGGUCUUGACAUCCUUUGAAGCUUUUAGAGAUAGAAGUGUUCUCUUCGGAGACAAAGUGACAGGUGGUGCAUGGUCGUCGUCAGCUCGUGUCGUGAGAUGUUGGGUUAAGUCCCGCAACGAGCGCAACCCUUAUUGUUAGUUGCCAGCAUUCAGAUGGGCACUCUAGCGAGACUGCCGGUGACAAACCGGAGGAAGGCGGGGACGACGUCAGAUCAUCAUGCCCCUUAUGACCUGGGCUACACACGUGCUACAAUGGCGUAUACAACGAGUUGCCAACCCGCGAGGGUGAGCUAAUCUCUUAAAGUACGUCUCAGUUCGGAUUGUAGUCUGCAACUCGACUACAUGAAGUCGGAAUCGCUAGUAAUCGCGGAUCAGCACGCCGCGGUGAAUACGUUCCCGGGUCUUGUACACACCGCCCGUCACACCAUGGGAGUUUGUAAUGCCCAAAGCCGGUGGCCUAACCUUUUAGGAAGGAGCCGUCUAAGGCAGGACA
rnacentral:rRNA from 1 species